CAAAGUGGAAACGCCCCUCGGGGCUGCCCAUGAUGAUGGGGCUGGAGUCCAGCAGCGACUCUUCAGCCGGUAGUCCGGGAAGAACUGGACAGAGACCGCCGAUCAGGCCACAGGCCCAGCGGGGCAUCGGCGGGCUGGCAGCCUUGGAAGCUGCAGACGCGCUAGACAGCGGCCAGCUCUAAGCCAACCGCAGAGCCCCACCGAGAGCCCCGCCAGCACCCUGAGUUCGGACUCCCAGGCUACAGGACUGUGGGAAGCAAGCUGUUGCAGUGACCCUGCCUGCAGCGUUUGGACAGAGCAGCCCCGAGUGUAAGUCCCAGCUCCGGUCACACUGUCUCCCCCGUUGUUGCCUCAGGUCCCUCAGCAGCAGGGAUGGAAGCCGGUGCCAGGACUGGCAUGCCCCCUCCCCGUAUCUCCCUGUGGAUCUGCACAGCCAGAGGCUUCCCUGCAGCAUGGUGCCUGUCCCCAUGAGACUGGGGUCCCCUGAGCCUGCCCGCACCAGGGACAGUGCCCUACUUACAGAGCUGAGGCUAAAGCCUGGGAGCUGCCCUCACCCACCUCCUCACCUCAGCCUUCAGGCCCCUGCCCUAGCCAAGCCUGUCACUUCUCAACAGGAGAACGAACCUCACCCACCCCAUCCCAUCAGGCCGGGAGCCCCAGAGGCCCAGAUCCUGCGGUCAGGUUCCUUCCGACCUGCAGGGCCUUCCUGGUCCUCGCCUGCCCUCCCCUUCACCAGCGCUGGCUCAGCACGACGCCUCAACACACCCAGCUUGCUGCCACCUCAGGGCCUUUGCACAGACUAACUCUCAGCUCAACCCCAGCCUUGUGGCUCCCUCACUUGGGUCCAGCCCUGCUCCAACACCACUUUCUCGCGGCUGCACUUCUUCAUAUCGGUCCCCCAGCACCUUCCAUUCCUGACAGGCUGCUGCCCUUGGAAGCAGGGCUUACCCCACUUUCCAGGCUCUUGGCACAAGUUGACGGAGUGAAGCUCCACAGGCCCUGGCGCUUCUCACCUCUUUCAGCAUCCUUGAACUUGAUGGUUCUCCUCCGGGACGGCCGGGGGCUAGCAGCCACCUCAGCUAGGAUCCCUGAGCUGCAGAAGCCCAGGCUGCUGCCCCGGUUCCGAAGCACCAGCUUCAGCUCCUGGUUUUCCUGGAUGAGCUGCACCAGCCGCCGCAGCUCCUCGUUCUCCUGCGCCAGCCGCUGGAUCUCCUGCCGCAGGCCCUCGUAGCUGCUCAGGAGGGACAUGCCCGGCAUCAGGGGCGGCAGCUGCCAGCAGCUGGCGGGCUGGCCGGGGACAGUGGACCGGACCCCGUCAUUGUGAGAGAGCUCAUGUGAACCUGCCUUUCUCCGACUGACUGACUUCGCUCGGCGCGAUACUCUCCAGUUCCAUCCACGUCGUCGCCAAUGGCAGGAUUUCAUUUCUCUUUUCUUUCUUUUUUUUUUUUUUUAAGAUUUUAUUUAUGUGAGAGAGACAGCGAGAGAAAACAUGCGGGGAGAAGGUCAGAGGGAGAAGCAGACCCCCCGUGGAGCCGGGAGCCCGAGGGGGGACUCGAUCCCGGGAGUGCGGAAUCAUGACCUGAGCCAAAAGCAGUGGCCCAACCAACUGAGCCACCCAGGCGCCCAAGAUUUCCUUUUUUUUUUUUUUAAUUUUAUUUAUUUAUUUGACAGAGACCACACGCAGGCAGAGAGGCAGGCAGAGAGAGGGAGAAGCAGGCUCCCCGCUGAGCAGAGAGCCCGAUGCGGGGCUCCAUCCCAGGACCCUGAGAUCAUGACCUGAGCCGAAGGCAGAGGCUUUAACCCACUGAGCCACCCAGGCGCCCCCCAAGAUUUCCUUUUU